rnacentral:rRNA from 1 species
GAGUUUGAUCGUGGCUCAGGACGAACGCUGGCGGCAUGCCUAACACAUGCAAGUCGAGCGAGCCUAACCCUUCGGGGUGAAGCUAGCGGCGGACGGGUGAGUAACACGUGGGCAACCUGCCUCAUAGAGGGGAAUAGCCUCCCGAAAGGGAGAUUAAUACCACAUAAGAUUGUAGCUUCGCAUGAAGUAGCAAUUAAAGGAGCAAUCCGCUAUGAGAUGGGCCCGCGGCGCAUUAGCUAGUUGGUGAGGUAACGGCUCACCAAGGCGACGAUGCGUAGCCGACCUGAGAGGGUGAUCGGCCACAUUGGGACUGAGACACGGCCCAGACUCCUACGGGAGCAGCAGUGGGAAUAUUGCACAAUGGGGGAAACCCUGAUGCAGCAAUGCCGCGUGAGUGAUGACGGCCUUCGGGUU